GCCCGGUUAGCCCGGAUUCGUAGCGCAGCCAUAGGCUCCAAGGCACCUUGUGGUCGUGGGUUCGAGCCCCAGAUUGGGCG
rnacentral:tRNA from 1 species